rnacentral:rRNA from 1 species
AGCGAACGCUGGCGGCAGGCCUAACACAUGCAAGUCGAACGAAGUCUUCGGACUUAGUGGCGGACGGGUGAGUAACACGUGGGAACGUACCUUUUGGUUCGGAACAACUCAGGGAAACUUGAGCUAAUACCGGAUGAGCCCUUAAGGGGAAAGAUUUAUCGCCGAAAGAGCGGCCCGCGUUAGAUUAGCUAGUUGGUGAGGUAAAGGCUCACCAAGGCUACGAUCUAUAGCUGGUCUGAGAGGAUGAUCAGCCACACUGGGACUGAGACACGGACCAGACUCCUACGGGAGGCGGCAGUGGGGAAUCUUGCGCAAUGGGCGAAAGCCUGACGCAGCCAUGCCGCGUGAAUGAUGAAGGUCUUAGGAUUGUAAAAUUCUUUUACCAGGGACGAUAAUGACGGUACCUGAAGAAAAAGCCCCGGCUAACUUCGUGCCAGCCGCCGCGGUAAAAC